AGGUCGCCUAGCUUGAGGGGGAAUCUUAGUAUGCUCUGUGGCCGCAGCUUUGGUUGAUCUUCCACAUCAGAAAAGAUUUUCUGGUUCAAGAAGCUUGUAGGAGGAGAAGUUGGUGCAAUUGAAGUAUCGAGGCUUGUGGUGAAUUCUGGCGGUUAUAUCUGGUAGUGUGGAGGUACAUGUCUAGGUAAGCUCUGGCUAGGAAAGACUUGGUAAUUAAGUGGUCACGCCGGACCUACCUCUAUU
rnacentral:lncRNA from 1 species